rnacentral:sRNA from 14 species
UUACACUAGAAUGAGAGCAUGACAUCUGUCACCCAUUUAUUGCUAGUGGUAAUUCUGCAGAUCCAUGUAGCUUGGUAGUUGCCCUCUUCUUCCUUUAUGGCCACAUAAGCAAGUGGCCUCCCUGAAGUAGCUUGCCGAGUCAAAGAGAAUGAGCUUCCCCAAUGGAGGAAGAACAAUUUUCCAUCAAGGGUAGACUGCACUGCAUGCCUAGAACUUCCAAACAAAUUCUCUUGUUGUUACCCUAGAGACCAUCAUAUGGUCUCUAGCUAAUCUACUCGGUUCCUAAAAAGCUAGUCUAUUAGUUGU